rnacentral:rRNA from 1 species
UAAGGAAUAUUGGUCAAUGGACGCAAGUCUGAACCAGCCAUGCCGCGUGAAGGAUUAAGGUCCUCUGGAUUGUAAACUUCUUUUAUCUGGGGACGAAAAAAGGCGAUUCUUCGUCACUUGACGGUACCAGAUGAAUAAGCACCGGCUAACUCCGUGCCAGCAGCCGCGGUAAUACGGAGGGUGCAAGCGUUAUCCGGAUUCACUGGGUUUAAAGGGUGCGUAGGCGGGCAGGUAAGUCAGUGGUGAAAUCCUAGAGCUUAACUCUAGAACUGCCAUUGAUACUAUCUGUCUUGAAUAUUGUGGAGGUAAGCGGAAUAUGUCAUGUAGCGGUGAAAUGCUUAGAUAUGACAUAGAACACCUAUUGUGAAGGCAGCUUACUACGCAUAUAUUGACGCUGAGGCACGAAAGCGUGGGGAUCAAACAGGAUUAGAUACCCUGGUAGUCCACGCCCUAAACGAUGAUUACUCGACAUUUGUGAUACACUAUAAGUGUCUGAGCGAAAGCAUUAAGUAAUCCACCUGGGAAGUACGACCGCAGGUUGAACUCAAAGAAUUGACGGGGUCAUAGCUGUUUCCUG